rnacentral:rRNA from 1 species
CGUGAGGGAAAGGUGAAAAGAACCCCGGGAGGGGAGUGAAAUAGAACCUGAAACCGUAUGUCUACAAGCAGUCGAAGCACCUUAAGAGUGCGACGGCGUGCCUAUUGAAGAAUGAACCGGCGAGUUACAUUAUGUUGCGAGGUUAAGUGGGAGACACGGAGCCGAAGCGAAAGCGAGUCUUAAUAGGGCGACUAGUAACAUGGUGUAGACCCGAAACCGCAGUGAUCUAUCCAUGGUCAGGUUGAAGCGCAGGUAAAAAUGCGUGGAGGACCGAACCCGUGAGUGUUGAAAAACUUUGGGAUGAACCGUGGAUAGGGGUGAAAUGCCAAUCGAACGCGGAGAUAGCUGGUACUCCCCGAAAUAGCUUUAGGGCUAGCCUCAGGGAAGAUUAUAGACGGUAGAGCACUGAUCUGGCAAGGGGGCGUAAAGCCUACCGACCCUAGUCAAACUUCGAAUGGCUAUAAUUAAGACCCUGGGAGUCAGACUGCGAGUGAUAAGACCCGUAGUCAAGAGGGAAACAGCCCAGACCGCCGACUAAGGUCCCCAAUGCUGUACUAAGUGGAAAAGGAUGUAAGACUUCAUAAACAACCAGGAUGUUGGCUUAGAAGCAGCCACCAUUAAAAGAGUGCGUAAUAGCUCACUGGUCGAGAGGCCUUGCGCCGAAGAUGUCCGGGGCUCAAGUACAGAACCGAAGUCGCGGCAGGAUUAUAUAAUUCUGGGUAGGGGAGCGUUGUAUAUCCGACUGAAGGUGUACCGGAAGGAGCGCUGGAGGAUAUACAAGAGAGAAUGCCGGUAUGAGUAGCGAAAAGAACAGUGAGAAUCUGUUCCACCGAAAGCCUAAGGUUUCCUGAGCAACGCUCGUCGACUCAGGGUAAGUCGGGACCUAAGCCGAGGCAAAAAGCAUAGGCGAUGGACAACAGGUUAAUAUUCCUGUACCGCUUCAAAUCGUUUGAGCAAUGGAGUGACACAGAAGGUAGCUUGAGCACGCGAAUGGAUGUGCGUGUCGAAGGUGGUAGGUUGCAGUAUAGGUAAAUCCGUACUGUAUAAGACCGAGAACUGAUAGAUAGACGAUACUUCGGUAAAGUCAAAUUCAAGUGAGCCAUGCUGUCGAGAAAAGCUUCUAGUGAGAGAUGAGGCGCCCGUACCGAAACCGACACAGGUAGGCGGGGAGAGAAUCCUAAGGUGCGCGGGACAACCCUCGUUAAGGAACUCGGCAAAUUGUAUCCGUAACUUAGGGAUAAGGAUAGCCGGAGGAUGUGAAGGGAUUUACUUCUGGAGCGUCAGCCGGUGGCACAAGAGAGGCCCAAGCGACUGUUUAGCACAAACACAGGUGCCUGCAAAAGAGAAAUCUGACGUAUAGGUGCUGACACCUGCCCGGUGCUGGAAGGUUAAGAGGAGGGCUUAGAGGAAACUCGAAGGCUUGAAUUGAAGCCCCAGUAAACGGCGGCCGUAACUAUAACGGUCCUAAGGUAGCGAAAUUCCUUGUCGGGUAAGUUCCGACCCGCACGAAAGGUGUAACGACUUGGGCACUGUCUCAACGAGGGACCCGGUGAAAUUGAAGUACCUGUGAAGAUGCAGGUUACCCGCGACUGGACAGAAAGACCCCAUGGAGCUUUACUGCAACCUGACAUUGAUGUUCGGUAAAUAACGUACAGGAUAGGUGGGAGACGGAGAAGUAUUGGCGUUAGCUGAUAUGGAGUCAACCUUGGGAUACCACCCUUUAUUUAUUGGACCUCUAACUGAAGAAGUAACGACUCUCAGGACAGUAUCAGGCGGGCAGUUUGACUGGGGCGGUCGCCUCCCAAAAUGUAACGGAGGCGCCCAAAGGUUCCCUCAGCGCGAACGGAAACCGCGCAAAGAGUGUAAAGGCAGAAGGGAGCUUGACUGCGAGUCAGACACGACGAGCAGGUACGAAAGUAGGGCUUAGUGAUCCGGUGGUUCCGAGUGGAAGGGCCAUCGCUCAACGGAUAAAAGCUACCCUGGGGAUAACAGGCUAAUCUCUCCCAAGAGUCCAUAUCGACGGGGAGGUUUGGCACCUCGAUGUCGGCUCAUCACAUCCUGGGGCUGGAGCAGGUCCCAAGG